rnacentral:rRNA from 1 species
AGCAGCCGCGGUAAUUCCAGCUCCAAUAGCGUAUAUUAAAGUUGUUGCAGUUAAAAAGCUCGUAGUUGAAUUUCGGGAUUCGUCCAUUGGUCAGGCUUAACUGUCUGUACUGAUGUGUCGGAUUUCUACCUUCUGAAGAACCUUUAUGCCAUUAAUUUGGUGUGUUGGGGAAUCAGGACUGUUACUUUGAAAAAUUAGAGUGUUUAAAGCAGGCUAACGUCUGAAUACAUUAGCAUGGAAUAAUGAAAUAGGACGGUACGGUUCUAUUUUGUUGGUUUCUAGGAUCGCCGUAAUGAUUAAUAGGGAUAGUUGGGGGCAUUAGUAUUCAAUUGUCAGAGGUGAAAUUCUUGGAUUUAUUGAAGUACUAACUACUGCGAAAGCAUUUGCCAAGGAUGUUUUCAUUAAUUCAAGAACGAAAGUUAGGGGAUCGAAGACGAUCAGAUACCGUCG